rnacentral:lncRNA from 1 species
UAGAGUGCGCUGCCCCCCACAACGGUUCUGACUCAGGGGUGGAGUAGUGGUGAUUGAAUGCGGACGUUACAGGUAACGUAUGCUCUAAAUGCUAAUAGAUGCACCCGGAAACGUACGGCAGUUUCCCUCCGGAGAGGUUACGACGUACCGAGUGUAUCCAGUCGGUGAGCCUGGUGUCCUCUGAAUGCUAGUUACCGACUGAAUGAUUCAGGGCCUGUUACCGACUGGAUGACGGGGAUACCUUGAUUCAGUCGGGGCAGACUUAGGGUCCUGUCCUUUGUGUGGGGUAGUCCUUGGAUAGGACGUGUACGGCAGGCCUAUGACCCUACCCUAGG